GUCCCGCCUGCCCAGUGACUAUAUGUUCAACGGCCGCGGUACUUUGACCGUGCGAAGGUAGCGCAAUCACUUGUCUUUUAAAUGAGGACCUGUAUGAAUGGCACAACGAGGGCUUUACUGUCUCCUUUUUCUAGUCAGUGAAAUUGAUCUCCCCGUGCAGAAGCGGAGAUGAAGACAUAAGACGAGAAGACCCUAUGGAGCUUUAAACGCCAAGACAGACAUAUGUUCGUUACUCUUGAACAAAAGACUAAACAGUAUGAAGACUGCUCUGAUGUUUUUGGUUGGGGCGACCCUGGGGAACAAAAAAACCCCCAUGAAGACAGGGAGGACACCCUCCUGCAAGCAAUGAGCCACUGCUCUAGCUCACAGAACUUCUGACUUUUAAGAUCCGGCAUGGCCGAUCAACGGACCGAGUUACCCUAGGGAUAACAGCGCAAUCCUCUUUUAGAGCCCAUAUCGACAAGAGGGUUUACGACCUCGAUGUUGGAUCAGGACAUCCUAA
rnacentral:rRNA from 1 species